UGCUACGACCAACUUUUCGUUCAGUGG
rnacentral:piRNA from 1 species